rnacentral:tRNA from 1 species
GGGUUGGUAGCUCAGUGGAUCAGAGACCAUGGUCCCGGACCAUGAAGUCAAGGGUUCGAAUCCCUCCUAGCCCC